AAGCGUCGCUCUUGAGUACCGUUGUUGAUGCUCAGCUGCCGGUACGUGAAGUUUCAAACUUGUCAAGGCGUAAAGAUAACUGAACGGAAUAGCCCAAUCAAAUAAUUCGUGACUGCUGUUGUAAGAAAACAGGACGAAAAG